ACCUCUCUGUCAGAAAAGUCGCCACCCUCGAGUUUUGACCUCCAAGUCUUCUCACCCGCAAGAUUCACACCCUUUCCCUAUGUUGUGAGGCAGACACCUUCUCCGCAUCAAAACUUACCCACAGAAAGAAGUGGUGAAGGAAGAGGUUAAGAAAGAUUAGGUUAGAAGGUUAAAAGGUUAGAAGGCCUCAGAUUCUCUUCAUCUUCCCAGAUUCACCACAUAGGAAUUCUCUUAUGUUCAAUAACAACUCCAUGAGGUAGGAUCAACAAUUGUAUGGUAGGAAUCCUGGAUGGAGAGUGUAGAAAUUUCUACAGAAUCACACAGUGAUUUU